rnacentral:rRNA from 1 species
CCGGGGUGCAGCAGGCGCGAAAACUUUACAAUGCCGGCAACGGCGAUAAGGGGACCUCGAGUGCCAGGUUACAAAUCUGGCUGUCGUGAUGCCUAAAAAGCAUUGCAUAGCAAGGGCCGGGCAAGACCGGUGCCAGCCGCCGCGGUAACACCGGCGGCUCGAGUGGUAACCGUUAUUAUUGGGUCUAAAGGGUCUGUAGCCGGCCGGAUAAGUCUCUUGAGAAAUCCAGCAGCUCAACUGUUGGGCUUUCAGGAGAUACUGUCUGGCUCGAGGCCGGGAGAGGUGAGAGGUACUUCAGGGGUAGGGGUGAAAUCUUGUAAUCCUUGAAGGACCACCAGUGGCGAAGGCGUCUCACCAGAACGGACCUGACGGCAAGGGACGAAAGCUGGGGGAGCAAACCGGAUUAGAUACCCGGGUAGUCCCAGCCGUAAACGAUGCACGUUAGGUGUAUCGAUGACCACGAGUCAUCGAGGUGCCGAAGGGAAACCGUGAAACGUGCCGCCCGGGAAGUACGGUCGCAAGGCUGAAACUUAAAGGAAUUGGCGGGGGAGCACA